GGAAGCUGUGGAGGCACUAUUUAUGGAGGUAUUCAAGGCCAUGCCGGAUGAAGCUCUGGACAGUCCAGUGAGAAGCGUCCCUGCCCAUGGCAGGAGGGAUGGAGAUUAUACCCAUCAGAAUGGAGAAAGGAAGGGAGAACAGGAGGGAGUGAGCCAGGAGCUUUAUAUGGUUUAAACAUCUGUUCCCUCAGAGUCGUUCCAUGCCUGCCUGCCUUAUUAGAGGGUUUGGUGCUGGAGUCCUCUGACUGAACGCCAAAGUCCUUCCCUUUGUUUUUCUCAGUGACGUACACAAGAACUUUGAGGUGGUGUAAGAACAGAGGGAUUCAUGGCUAAUAAAUACUUCAUCUAGAUGGGUGAGUGUUUGAGCUAGGCUGUUAGCUUAAUUCUAACCAUAAGGAGCAAUAACCACGGCAUACUUUGGGUGGGAGAAGACAUCAAUCACUGUCACUUUUCAACAAAGGAAAAUGAGUAGAGAUGGAAGAAGCUUUUGAAAACUGGGACUUAAAUUUUCAUCCUGGCUAAUUCUUCUCUGGAUUGCUGGUGUUCCUAAAAGCCAUCUUGCAAGUCUUUUUUUCCAGUGGCAAUGUUACUCCUGUUACUCAGUAAAAUUGGAUGAUUAAUAUGUGCAUUCUGACAAAGGCCGGCUACAGAUACAUUACUUGUAAUAGAACAUAGGGAUACCCUCACUCAUAUCAAUCUCUGGGUAUAUAGGGAGGUUUUCCAAAGUAACUCCCUUGACAUAUUAGGACUGACAUACUUCUGCUGUGCUCUGAAAUUCAUUUUAAAUCUUUCAACUUAGGGAGAAGUAACUGCUGUCACAAAUUAGCAUGCUGUCAUAUUGAGCUCAGAAAGUUCUUUUUCAUGCUCAUUUUAUGUUCCAUUUAUCCUGCUAUUAGUAGAGAAUAAGAAGAUUUACUUUUAAAUGAUUAUGUAAGGUUUAGCGGAGUAAUGAUUUCUUGAUGGAAUUCUUUCUGAUGUGGAAAUGAGUUGCUUCCUGUAUAAAGUUUUGCAUUCACUGUUUUUAAGGAAACAGGACUGGGGCAAAUGUCUGCGCCUCUCAGAAAUCAAAAUAUCUCAGGAGAACAGCUUUUGUUACGAGCAGCUGUACUUGCCUGUCUGGGCUCUGCAGUCAGCUCGAUGUGAGCACAGCUCACCCCUUUGUGCUUUGCACUCCGAGGGUGAGCUCCUGGCUCUGCAGAUGCCAGGAGAGGUUUUGCCCUUGACUCCAGGAAUUCAUGACAUCAACUUCAGCCUUCACAAUGCAGCCUGUCUCCCUGUGGCUCUCUGUUUUCCCUGACAACCUCCU